rnacentral:rRNA from 1 species
GAUGAACGCUGGCGGCGUGCUUAACACAUGCAAGUCGAACGAUGAAGCCCAGCUUGCUGGGUGGAUUAGUGGCGAACGGGUGAGUAACACGUGAGUAACCUGCCCUUAACUCUGGGAUAAGCCUGGGAAACUGGGUCUAAUACCGGAUAGGAGCGUCCACCGCAUGGUGGGUGUUGGAAAGAUUUAUCGGUUUUGGAUGGACUCGCGGCCUAUCAGCUUGUUGGUGAGGUAAUGGCUCACCAAGGCGACGACGGGUAGCCGGCCUGAGAGGGUGACCGGCCACACUGGGACUGAGACACGGCCCAGACUCCUACGGGAGGCAGCAGUGGGGAAUAUUGCACAAUGGGCGCAAGCCUGAUGCAGCGACGCCGCGUGAGGGAUGACGGCCUGCGGGUUGUAAACCUCUUUCAGUAGGGAAGAAGCGAAAGUGACGGUACCUGCAGAAGAAGCACCGGCUAACUACGUG